CAGCCGCCGCGGUAAUACGAAGGGGGCUAGCGUUGCUCGGAAUUACUGGGCGUAAAGGGAGCGUAGGCGGAUCGUUAAGUUGGGGGUGAAAGCCCGGGGCUCAACCUCGGAACUGCCUUCAAUACUGGCGAUCUUGAGUAUGAGAGAGGUGUGUGGAACUCCGAGUGUAGAGGUGAAAUUCGUAGAUAUUCGGAAGAACACCAGUGGCGAAGGCGACACACUGGCUCAUUACUGACGCUGAGGCUCGAAAGCGUGGGGAGCAAACAGGAUUAGAGACCCGCGUAGUCCCUGUCUCUUAUAC
rnacentral:rRNA from 1 species